rnacentral:rRNA from 1 species
ACAUGGCGUACUGCUCAGUAACACGUGGACAACCUGCCCUUAGGUUGGGUAUAAACCCGGGAAACUGGGUAUAAUCCCCUAUAAGUCUCGGCUGCUGGAAUGCACCGAGAUUAAAAGCUCCGGCGCCUAAGGAUGGGUCUGCGGCCUAUCAGGUAGUAGUGGGUGUAGCGUACCUACUAGCCUACGACGGGUACGGGUUGUGAGAGCAAGAGCCCGGAGAUGGAUUCUGAGACACAAAUCCAGGCCCUACGGGGUGCAGCAGGCGCGAAAACUUUACAAUGCUGGCAACAGCGAUAAGGGAACCUCGAGUGCCAGGUUACAAAUCUGGCUGUCGAGAUGCCUAAAAAGCAUUUCAUAGCAAGGGCCGGGCAAGACCGGUGCCAGCCGCCGCGGUAACACCGGCGGCUCGAGUGGUAACCGUUAUUAUUGGGUCUAAAGGGUCUGUAGCCGGCCGGAUAAGUCUCUUGAGAAAUCUGGCAGCUUAACUGUCAGGCUUUCAGGAGAUACUGUCUGGCUCGAGGCCGGGAGAGGUGAGAGGUACUUCAGGGGUAGGGGUGAAAUCUUGUAAUCCUUGAAGGACCACCAGUGGCGAAGGUGUCUCACCAGAACGGACCUGACGGCAAGGGACGAAAGCUAGGGGCACGAACCGGAUUAGAUACCCGGGUAGUCCUAGCCGUAAACGAUACUCGCUAGGUGUCGGCCACGGUGCGACCGUUGU